CCCACACAAGCAAGGACUGUGUAACCUUUUUUAUGACAAACAAAGGGUCCUUGUGGGCAAGAGUGAGGUGGCCCUAGGGGGUGUGGCCAGAUCUGCCUGGGCCCAUUGGUUCCGCUACCUCACAGAACCCAGUGUGAGGUCACAGUUGUUAGCUAUAUAAGGCCGAGGCUCAGGUGAAUUGUUUGUGGGUGACGUAGGAGUUGGAUGGCAAGUGUUGGUGGUGAUUUGGUGAUCGGGUUGGUGGUGUGGAGAGUGGAGCUUGUGUUUCCAUCGAGAUGUGGCCUCUGGGUCAUGAGUCUGAUAGAACAUCUUGGCUGGGCCUCUCCACCAGCUCCAGCACUGACAGCCUCCAGGAAAACUAUGAGGUGCUGCGCCUCCUUGACAAAGGCGGCUUUGGUGAGAUCCUCCUGGCCAAACACCGUGGCACAGGGAUGCUGGUCGCUGUGAAGGCGAUAGUGAAGACAAAGAUGCCAGCAGCCUGCAUUAUAUCAGAGAUGUCUGCUGGGGGUCCUGCUUUCAGAUGGUCUCGAUGUAUCCAGGCAGAAUGUCCAGCCACCUUCACCGCCAAGGGAGUUGACAGGACAACAGGAACCAGUCCCUUCUAACGAGGUUCCAGGGUCUUGGAAUCAAACCUGCGAAUAAAAACCAAAUCUCCCGGCCUAUAGGGUAAAGGUUGUAGAGGUUUUUCAUUUGGACUAGACAUUUUCUUUUGUAAUGUCUCGUAGCUCCGACCGAAGCUGAUGAACUGCUUUUAAGGAUUUAAGGAGUCGAAGGAACCUGGAGUCGGGAGGCUUACCGGCCCAUCAGCCACCUCACUCCUGACAACAAACGGUUGCAACCGGCCAAAAAUUUACCUCCAGAGGUUUUCUGAGGUCUGUGCCUGAGAGUCUCCUGCUGGAUCCUGCCAGAGUCUCGGCUGAACCGGGGUUCCUUACCCAGGGAUCUCGCUGGGGCCUCCAAAAUGUAAGACCUCUGUCCUUACCAAAAGCUCUGAGGAGCUGACUAUAGUGAAGCACACCCAGGGAUCCCAGCGGUGCCUCCAGAAUGUAAGACCAAGGGCCUUACCAAAUGCUCCAAGGAGCUGAAGUGGAGCACACCCGGGGUUCCCAGCGGUGCCUCCAGAAUGUAAGACCAAAGGCCUUACCAAAUGCUCCAAGGAGCCGGAGUGGAGCACACUUGGGGGUCCCAGCGGUGCCUCCAGAAUGUAAGACCAAAGGCCUUACCAAAUGAUCCAAGGAGCUGACUGCAGUGGAGAACACCCAGGAAGGAACACACCGGACAAAUUGGAAAGUGAAACAGACCUUAGUCUGGCCAGAGGGCACUCCCAAAGCAAAGUAGCUUAGAGAGGCCUAGUCCAGAGUCCGAGGCUCUUUUUAUAGGGGCUUGCAGGAGAGUUAACAGGUGAAGUUUACAGAAGAAGGAACAAAAGUUCAGUGGUCUUACAUUUGUAUGUUAAUUAGCAAGACAUGUACUGUUAGUCAGCAGAUGCUUUGUAGAUUGUUCUAUAGAUAGUGGUGUCCGGAACAAAGGGUGGGAUAACUAGGACUGAUAGGGAUCUUUAAACUUUACAGAGGGUACAAUGUGGGCCACAGCCCUGACCAUCCAAUAAGGUUACAAGUGCAGUCGCUUAGCCAAUGGUGUCCAAUAGGGAGAUAAGUCACGUAACAAGCGUGGAUGGAAAGACAAAGAUUCUCCUAGGAAGUGCUGGGUCCAGAGGUCUCUGGUCACCCACCAGGGUGGCCGAUGUCUGUCUCAGCUUCACUAGGCCCAGUGCUUGCUCUUUGACCAAGUAUGCAGGUUGGGUCAGCUUGUCUUUAUCCUGAGGCCCACGUUCCAACCGAUGUGUCUCCCUCUGGUGCAGCUGUGGUGUUUCAGAUAGGGCCUGGCCUAUCUGACCACCUCUAAUAUCCCUGCCUGACUCAUCGGUCUAUAAUCCCAGCACUUGGGAGAGGCAGGAGGAUCCCCAUGAGUUCCAGGCCACCUGAACUACAUAGCGAGACCCUGUCUCAGAAAACAAAACAAAACACAAAUCAGCCAUAUUUAAAAGCAGUCCUUUUUAAAAUUCCUGUUUACUUAUUGAUGUGUUGGGAUGUUGGGAGCAAUGCUACAUAAUUCUAGGGAGAAAUCAUUUGGUUAGCCUAGUUCUCUUGCCUACAGCCCAGCUACAGAAUAACUCCAGUUUGGCCUCCGGUCACAACUGAGACUUCAGUGAUCCAGUGAUGCUGUGAUUCUCCAGGACAAGAAACAUCCUAGGAGAACAAACAUCUGCUCAGUUCCUCAUUGUUCUUGAACUGUUAACAUCUUGUUUACCCGAGAUGUACUGAACUCUCUGCAAGCCUUUUGUUACACCUUGUUCGUCCCAAUGUGAACUACUGAACUCUCUGCAAGUCAUUUGUUACAUUUGUUUCUCCCGAUGUACUGAAUUCUCUGCAAGUCAUUUGUUACGAGGUACUGAAUAAAAGGUGGCACUGAUGUUUCUGGUGUGUGAGCAGUGCUCUGAUGACCACCACCUUAGCAUGCAGCCUUGUAAAUUCUGCGUGUCACCUACGAAAAGUCGUCAUCCAAAAGAUGAGUAUUUAAGUUGUUAUCCCCAAGAGCAAUUUUUUUUUUGUCAGUUUUUUGGAGACAGUGUCUCAAUGUAUAGUCCAGGCUUGCCUUGAACUCACAGUGAUCCUCCUGCUUCAGCCUCCCCAGUACUGGGAUUACAGUCAUGAGCCACCACACCUAGCUACAAGAACAUUCUUGUAGUGAAAUUGUUGGUGUGUCCUUAAUUACUAGUUAUCUGGGUAACUAAGAUUAUCAUAUUACCAAUUUAUUCUCAAUUAUUAAAUUACUAGGAUUAAGUUUCCAAUUUCAGAAAUGGAAUUGCUGGGUCAGAAGCCAUGCAUGUUUAUCAAGCUUUGUGAUGUACACUGUCGAAUUGCCAUGGUAAACCUAUGUUUACCAUGUGGUAUGCGUCAUCUGGGUUAUCUCAUUUUUAAGUCAUUCAUUGGUUCAUUCUGCAUGGAUUCACUGGAUAAUACUUUGUUCAAGGUAUGUUGCUCACACAGAUGAGCAAGAUGUAGUAACCUGUGGGACAGAUGCUGUCAUUGUCCCAUUGUGCAGGUAAGGACACUGAGACCCACUGGACAGAAGGCUAGCCUGCUCCUUGGCCAGCUGCAUCACUUAACCAGUCACAACAGUGCCAGCGGCCUGAACCAGCUGGACAUUCUGCAGAACACUACAUUGGCCCAGCCUAUCUGUGGGCUGGAGGGUUGGGUGGCCUCAGAGAGGAGAAGCGAGACCCCCCACAAGAAUUCACAUCAGUGAAGUUUGUGGAGGUUCCAGCAGUGCGGAUGUGCUGGGACAUCCUCUCUAAAGUACAGUACAAACCUUCCAAAAGCGGAUACUGUGAUUCUCAAUUCUUUCCGACUUGUGUCCUUUCUGUCUCCACACCUGAAGUAAAUUCUGCCUGGAAGCCAUUGCCCCACAGUGCUCCCUGGAGGAUCAAUGGACUGUGCUGGUUCCCAGACACCUGGGCCUGCCGUGGUCAGUACAUGGCAAGGUUCAGUCAUGCAUUCCCUCCCUUCCUGACAUCCCGGUAGGUCUCAGGCAAGGAGCCCUGGUAGGAGGCAGGCUCAGAUACUGUUCCUGUUCUUCUUCUGGGAUGCUUAGCUCUUUUUAACCCAGAAGUUGCUGGGAAAAUCUAUGUCUAAAAUGCAUACCAAGCCAGGCAUGGUGGUACAUGUCUGUAAUCCCAGCACUCAGAGACUGAGGCAGGAGGACCAUUGUGAAUUUGAGGGCAGCCUAGACUACAUGGUGAGACCCUGUCUCAAAAAACCAAUAAUCAAAAACAAUGCAUGCCAGCAGAAUGCUGAGGAGCAAUAAGUCCCUUUCCUGUUGUCUCCUAACUGGAUAUGGCUUUCCCCAGGGGUUGCCAUGAUGUCAUACCAAAGAGGCCACUUGAGGUGGACAAGUCAAUCCUCUGGUUGCCUUGACUUGUGCUAUAAGACUCUGUUCUCACAGGCAGCAAGAGUGUUGUGACUGAACUUUGUAUAUUAAACACUUUUGAUAUUAAAAGAGUUUGGAGGGCCAGGGAUUUAGCUCAGUGAUUUUGCCACCUGCUGCGCAAGUGCAAGGACCCAAGUUCGAUCCCCAGUACCAAAAAAAAAGGGGUUGGUAAGCCUCAAAAUAAAAAAAAUCACAUUAGUUAAGAAGAAAGGACCCGGUAGAGCUCUUGACUUGGAAAUGCAUCAUGCAGGCAUGCAUCAACAGCCUCCAGGACAUGGCCUUCACCUGGCAUCAACCACCUGGCACAGCACAGUCUGCCUGCUGCUGUAGAAGGACUGGAAGUGCAGCUGAGGGCAGAUGUGUGAAUCCAGGCUUCCUAGCCACACAGCUCUAGGCCCUGUAGGUGCAGGGCUGUGCUUCCACCAGGAGACACACAGGAGCCUCUCUGAACUUUAAUCGGGAGCUGCUACCUAGCCACUUCUGGCUCCUUGUGCCUGCCAAGAACCAGCCGUGCCAUCAAGACGUGGGUGCAGAGCCAGGUGUGGUUUUGCACGCCUGUAAUCCCCACACCUGGGAGGCUGAGGCAAGAGGAUCACUGCACAUUUGAGGCCUAUCUGGGCUACAUAGUGAGUUCAAGGCACCACUUGGGAUUCUGUGGUUUGACCAGGCUCAGCUCCACAUGAUGCUACUGGGGACAUCAGUCUUUGAGGGCUCAUUCCCAUGGCUGGCACCACGUGAGAGACAGCUUGAAGGUAGAGCUCACCUGGGCACUGGGGCACCAGCUUCUCUCUCUGUCCAUGUGUGACCUUUCUGUGUGAUCUGUCCUGUUGGUCUUUUGGCAGGGCGGGAAGAUGAGGACAAGUUUCCUAAGUGCUCUGUGCCCAGCUGGGUCCAUUCCACCUCAUUCCCCCAAGAAGGCUCCAACUCUGCCUCCUCCUCACAAGGCAUGUGUCUUGUCCCAGGUGCCACCUGCUCCCACAUGGGAUUUGUCUGUUCUUUCUGUGCCAAUUCCUGUGCUGAGGACCUGACAUGGAUUUUCUCCUUUAGGGCCCAAGGCAAACCCAGGAAGGUGUGUAACUAUUCCUUACUUCUUGAGUGAGGGAACUUUGAGGAGAAAUGUGGAGGGUGUGCCCAUCGUCAUGAGGCUGCUGAUCCAGGGGUUGUGCUUGGAGUAGUUGGGUUCCAGGAGCACUUUCUGGAAUAUAAGCUUUGAGUGGAGCUCCUCCCUGGAAACCCACAUGGCCUGCAAACUUCCCUUUCCUUUCACCCCUUCCGACUUAGCAGCUAUAAAAUAGGAAAGGGUGCC
rnacentral:lncRNA from 1 species